CAGCCGCCGCGGUAAUACGAAGGGGGCUAGCGUUGCUCGGAAUUACUGGGCGUAAAGGGAGCGUAGGCGGACAUUUAAGUCAGGGGUGAAAUCCCAGAGCUCAACUCUGGAACUGCCUUUGAUACUGGGUGUCUUGAGUGUGAUAGAGGUAUGUGGAACUCCGAGUGUAGAGGUGAAAUUCGUAGAUAUUCGGAAGAACACCAGUGGCGAAGGCGACAUACUGGAUCAUUACUGACGCUAAGGCUCGAAAGCGUGGGGAGCAAACAGGAUUAGAUACCCCCGUAGUCCCUGUCUCUUAUAC
rnacentral:rRNA from 1 species